ACUUUUAAAGGAUAGGAGUUAUCCACUGGUCUUAGGAACCAAGGAAUUGGUGCAACUCCAAAUAAAAGUA
rnacentral:tRNA from 1 species